UUCGGGUUUACGAGGGAGGCGAAGGCAUGUGGAAGGUGCAGAAUCGUACUCGCGAUGACCUAACCCCAAGAAGGCGGGCAUCAAAUCGGAAUGCCCGACCUAACGAUACUACGCGUUUUACCUAAAUUAAAAGAUAACCUAUCUGUCAUUCUCUCCCAUCCUUUUUUCCUUACCCCUACCCCUAUUAUUAAGAUGGUUUGUUUGCUCUUCUUCCAUUAAAAAAAAUUUGUAAGAGCGUUCUCGUAAACCCCGUUUU
rnacentral:telomerase_RNA from 1 species